UGGGGAAUAUUGGACAAUGGGCGCAAGCCUGAUCCAGCCAUGCCGCGUGAGUGACGAAGGCCUUAGGGUUGUAAAGCUCUUUUGGCGGGGAAGAUAAUGACGGUACCCGCAGAAUAAGCUCCGGCUAACUUCGUGCCAGCAGCCGCGGUAAUACGAAGGGAGCUAGCGUUGUUCGGAAUCACUGGGCGUAAAGCGCACGUAGGCGGACUUUCAAGUCAGAGGUGAAAUCCCCGGGCUCAACCUGGGAACUGCCUCUGUGACUGCAAGGCUGGAGUGCGGCAGAGGGGGAUCGAAUUCCGCGUGUAGCAGUGAAAUGCGUAGAUAUGCGGAGGAACACCGAUGGCGAAGGCAAUCCCCUGGGCCUGCACUGACGCUCAUGCACGAAAGCGUGGGGAGCAAACA
rnacentral:rRNA from 1 species